GGGGAAUAUUGCGCAAUGGGGGAAACCCUGACGCAGCAAUACCGCGUGAGUGAAGAAGGUUUUCGGAUCGUAAAACUCUUUUAUUGGGGAAGAAGAAGUGACGGUACCCAAUGAAGAAGUCCCGGCUAACUACGUGCCAGCAGCCGCGGUAAUACGUAGGGGACAAGCGUUGUCCGGAAUCACUGGGCGUAAAGGGCGCGUAGGCGGUUUUAUAAGUCAGAUGUGAAAGGUACCGGCUCAACCGGUGACGUGCAUUUGAAACUGUAAGACUUGAGUACUGGAGAGGCAAGUGGAAUUCCUAGUGUAGCGGUGAAAUGCGUAGAUAUUAGGAGGAACACCGGUGGCGAAGGCGGCUUGCUGGACAGAUACUGACGCUGAGGUGCGAAAGCGUGGGGAGCGAAC
rnacentral:rRNA from 1 species